rnacentral:rRNA from 1 species
CAAUAGCGUAUAUUAAAGUUGUUGCAGUUAAAAAGCUCGUAGUUGGAUUUGUGGCGUACGGUGUGUUCCGGGCACUUGUUGUCUGAGUAACCUGCUGUUGCCAUCCUUGGGUGGAACCUGUGUGGCAUUAGGUUGUCGUGCAGGGGAUGCCCAUCAUUUACUGUGAAAAAAUUAGAGUGUUCAAAGCAGGCUUAUGCCGUUGAAUAUAUUAGCAUGGAAUAAUGAGAUAGGACUUUUUUGCUAUUUUGUUGGUUUGCGCAAAGAGGUAAUGAUUAAUAGGGACAGUUGGGGGUAUUCGUAUGCCAUUGUCAGAGGUGAAAUUCUUGGAUUUUUGGAAGACGAACUACUGCGAAAGCAUUUACCAAGGAUGUUUUCAUUAA